rnacentral:lncRNA from 1 species
GAAACUGUGUAGGGGCCCUUAGUACAAAGUUAAGUUCUUGUUUUCCAAACAUUUAAAAAUGAAAUGAGCCUAAAACUGUGUGCCCAAGCACAAUGUGAUUUUACUGAGUGUUAAGUUAUUAAUGAUAAAAUUAUUUUACUCAAACACUUAAGCAACAGCUAUGUACAUUAAUGGAGGAUUUACAUAAAUUAAAAUGUACUUUUGUUUAUAUAUAAAGAUUUGACUGACAGUUGCUAGGCAGUGGCACACACCUUUAGUCCAAGCACUCACAGAUCUCUUGAGUCCAAGGACAGCUAGAUUACAGGACAGCCAAGGCUAAAACAAAGAAACCCUCUCUUGAAAACAAAAAGUGAUCUGAUGAUGGAUCCUUAAAAUACUCAUGUUUGGGAACUUGAGCUCACCAGUUAGGAUUGUCUGUUGCUCUUAAGUGGGUCCCACUGUUUUCCAGCAUCUACAUGGUGGUUCACACCCAUCCUUAUCUCAAGUUCCUGGUGACCCAGUGCCUUCUUCAGGCCUCUGAGGGCACCAGGCAGUAAUGUGGCACACAUAGAUGUAGGCAAAACACACAUAGAAUAAAUGAAUCUGAAAUGAAUGAAUGAAUGAAUGAAUGAAUAAAUAAAUAAGUAAAUAAAUAAAUUGUUUUGUAAAUCCCUGUCUGGUUUCUACAUUGAGCCUUUAAAAAACGUGUUGCACUUUUGCCUAACAUGACAUAAGUUUGCUAUUUGUGCUUAUCUAGAGAUAGAAAAAAUCUUUGCACAUUAGAAAACAAACAGAACAGAUAAAAUGAUAAUUAUUACACUUCUUCCUGAUUUAGUUAUUGAAAUUGAUUUAGAAAUUUUGCUUCUGUGUCAAGGAGGUACAUCAAUAUAAAAGUUAAAUUCUUUUUUUAAAAAAAAUAUAAUCUCUAAAAACACUUAAUACUAGAAUAAAAAUCCCAUCAACUCUAAUGUUAAUAGGUAAUUUGUAUGACCAAAAUGUGCUGAACACACAAAUGAUCUUCUGAGUACUACCAAACUAAAGAGCUACUAUGAGAGAUUGAACAUUCUCAAAUGGGAUAAAAUGUCCAGGUUUCUUUUAAUUAGUACUAUUCAGAGGUAGAGGUCCUGACCUUGAUUUCUAGCACAAACUAGGCAAAAGGCUUUAUGAAGUUGUAAAUAAAAUUUGGAGAUUAAAGUGCAGUACUCACAAAUUAUUUCUUGUUUCUAUGAAAUCUGAUUGACUCUUGUAGACAUGGAGGUAAAAGAAAGAACUAGUAGUUUUGCUCACGGUUUGUAAACGCUUGUAUUAGCCUCUUUGCUGUCAUAUGUACAUUAUGUAUGUCUGAACUUCUUGCCUUUAUUUUUAAACUGCUAUGGACUUUUCUCAAGUUAGAAGUAAUAUGAGAAGAAAUAAUUUUUAUAAUGUAUCCAUUAUUUCCAUCUAUUUACUAUCUCUUCAAAGGUGUAGAUAUGGGCUAGGACUAUGGCCUAGGUGGUAGAGUACGGCCUAGCACACAAAGAAUACUGGGUUUCACACCCUAGCACCAUAUUAAUAAACCUGUUAUGAUGAUCUAUACCUCAAAUUCCAGCACACAGGUUGAAUCAGGAAAAUCAAACGUUCAGUGUCAUCCAUUAGUACAGAGCAUGUUUGAGGCCAGCCUGGGUUACAUAAACUAUGAAGUUUAACUUGGCUUAACAUCAAGACUCAAAUUAUAGCUGGAUGUGAAUUAUAGUGGGGCAUAACAGCACAUGCCUGUGAUCCUUAGACUUUGAAGGUUGGGGAUUAUCUCAAGUUGUAGGUAAGUCUAGAGUUCAAAAUGUUACGGACAGUGUUCCUCCCCCAAUUCCUAAAGAGAUAAAACACAGCUGUAAAGUGUAUGUCAUUGUCUUUUACCUCAAUUGCCUAAGUCUUAGGUAGAUGGGUUUUUUGCUUGUUUUUUCUGUUACUCUGCAUUUUGUAAUCUAGAGAAGAGUUUCACUAGAGUGAUAGAAAUACCUGAGGAGGCAAUACUGUGCAUUAAAGUCUUCUACUGUGUUCUGGGAAAUCUGAGGCAGAGGGAUUGGGAGUUGGAGCCUGGCAUGUAUUAACAAGACUCUGUCUCAACAACAACAACAACAAAAUAGUUUAAUUUAAAAUUGUGGCUUGUAUUAGUUGGAGAGACUCUGGGUUUAGCACUUGCUGUUUUUGCAGAAUACCUAUCACCCAUGUGGCAGCUCAUACCUGCCUCUAACUCAGGUUCUGGGAGAACUCAUACCCUUUCUUAGCCCCUUCAGCACACAGACAGAGAGGUCCUGAGGGCAGCCUACAUUCAUUCUGUCCCUGCUUCAUAAGAAUUGUGCUUAGAAAAGCAGUUCAUUAAAAUUAAGUUUAAAUUUGGUGAUUUUUCUCAUCUAUUUGAUACCUUAAAAUGUUAGUUUAGUUAAACUUGCACAUGAUUUAGCUGUAUCAGGAGAUGAAAUAUUUGAAAUUGUGAAGGUUUUCUUUAUGCAGGUAUUUAAAAGUACUUAGGUCUUUCGGUCCUUCCUGGUUUUAAAUGUAAAUAUUUAGAAAUAAUAGGCUUAUUAUUAAAUAAUCGAGGCUAGCCUGGUCUACAGAGUGAGUUCCAGGACAACCAGGGCUAUACAGAGAAACCCUGUCUCG